rnacentral:rRNA from 1 species
GACGAACGCUGGCGGCGUGCCUAAUACAUGCAAGUAGAACGCUGAAGGAGGAGCUUGCUUCUCCGGAUGAGUUGCGAACGGGUGAGUAACGCGUAGGUAACCUGCCUGGUAGCGGGGGAUAACUAUUGGAAACGAUAGCUAAUACCGCAUAAGAGUAGAUGUUGCAUGACAUUUGCUUAAAAGGUGCAAUUGCAUCACUACCAGAUGGACCUGCGUUGUAUUAGCUAGUUGGUGGGGUAACAGCUCACCAAGGCGACGAUACAUAGCCGACCUGAGAGGGUGAUCGGCCACACUGGGACUGAGACACGGCCCAGACUCCUACGGGAGGCAGCAGUAGGGAAUCUUCGGCAAUGGACGGAAGUCUGACCGAGCAACGCCGCGUGAGUGAAGAAGGUUUUCGGAUCGUAAAGCUCUGUUGUAAGAGAAGAACGAGUGUGAGAGUGGAAAGUUCACACUGUGACGGUAUCUUACCAGAAAGGGACGGCUAACUACGUGCCAGCAGCCGCGGUAAUACGUAGGUCCCGAGCGUUGUCCGGAUUUAUUGGGCGUAAAGCGAGCGCAGGCGGUUAGAUAAGUCUGAAGUUAAAGGCUGUGGCUUAACCAUAGUACGCUUUGGAAACUGUUUAACUUGAGUGCAAGAGGGGAGAGUGGAAUUCCAUGUGUAGCGGUGAAAUGCGUAGAUAUAUGGAGGAACACCGGUGGCGAAAGCGGCUCUCUGGCUUGUAACUGACGCUGAGGCUCGAAAGCGUGGGGAGCAAACAGG